AGAGUUUGAUCAUGGCUCAGGAUGAACGCUAGCUACAGGCUUAACACAUGCAAGUCGAGGGGCAGCAUGUUGGUUGCUUGCAACCAACGAUGGCGACCGGCGCACGGGUGAGUAACGCGUAUCCAACCUACCCUUGUCCAUCGGAUAACCCGUCGAAAGGCGGCCUAACACGAUAUGCGGUUCACGGCAGGCAUCUAAGGUGAACGAAAUGUGAAGGAGAAGGAUGGGGAUGCGUCUGAUUAGCUUGUUGGGCGGGGUAACGGCCCACCAAGGCUACGAUCAGGUAGGGGUUCUGAGAGGAACGGUCCCCACAUUGGAACUGAGACGACGGUACCAAACUCCGUACGGGAGGCA
rnacentral:rRNA from 1 species